GAUGAUCAGCAUGGCUACAGCGUUCCCUUUGCCCCGGCGUGCUACGACCCUUUUCUUGGUGGGAUGCCGUGGCCAGCUGAUCCUUCCAUGUACUACGGCUACGCCGGCAUGCCCUACGCUUACGGCGGCGGUUACCCGAUGGGUUCGAACGCCAUGGGCGGCAACAUGACAGUACCACCACAAACACGGAACGACGGCGGACCGUAUGGUUACCACGGCAGGAAGAGGACGCGCGCAGAUUGUGAGGAUCAGAGCUUCAAGAGAAAGUGCGGUGGAGGCAGAUCACAGGCCACCUUAGUUUUGACGUAG
rnacentral:rRNA from 1 species